UAGGGGGACUGCCGGCGUAAGCCGGAGGAAGGAGGGGGCCACGGCAGGUCAGUAUGCCCCGAAACCCCGGGGCUGCACGCGAGCUGCAAUGGCGGGGACAGCGGGAUCCGACCCCGAAAGGGGGAGGCAAUCCCGUAAACCCCGCCCUGGUAGGGAUCGAGGGCUGCAACUCGCCCUCGUGAAUGUGGAAUCCCUAGUAACCGCGUGUCACCAACGCGCGGUGAAUACGUCCCUGCCCCUUAGGCGGGUUGCUGCGGCCUUCCUCAUCCUUCUUAAGGUCGGUCCUUCUCUGCCGUGUGGAUUACUCGUGGAUGGUGGUGGGCGUAGGAGUCGCCCUCGAGGGCUAUGUUUACAUCGGCAGGAGGUCGCGCGCCGAGGUUGUGUUUGUGAAUAUCGACGAGGCGGUUAGGCGGUUCUACACGAGCCAUCUAGAGAGCCUAGGGUUUAGAUAUCACGUGAGGGGCAAGAGGAUUGUAUCCUAUAUGCUGGAGUUCGCCGAGGAGCUGAGGAGGCGGAUAUGCACGACCUCCGGCGUCAAGAGGCUUCCGCCCGAGUCGCAUAUGUAUGCGCGGGAGGCCGUAAGGUGGGCCUUCACGUUAGACGGCGGAGUUGUCUUGUCCAGAGACCCCAAGAGCCGGGAGGUGGUCUUCCGAUCAAAAAGCGUGGAGAUAAUCGAGGACGUAGGCGCGUUGCUGAGGGCGGUCGGGAUCUCCUAUGGAAUUAGAGGCAACGGCACGUUGCUCUACAUAAAGCGCAGAGAGGACUUGGGGAAGUUCGCGGAGAUAGGGUUCCUAGAGGGGGCCAAGGCGGUGCGCGGCAGGCAUAGAGGGCGCGAGAAGAACGAUCUGUUGAGGCUCCUCCUUUCCCAUCCCUAGCCGCGGCGCCCGCCGGGGAAGCACACACCGCCCGUCGCACCACCCGAGGGAGUUCUCUGCGAGGCCCCUUGCUCGGGGCAACCUGGGUGGGGGGACGAGCAGAGAACUCCCGAGGGGGGUGAAGUCGUAACAAGGUAGCCGUAGGGGAACCUGCGGCUGGAUCACCUCCUAA
rnacentral:rRNA from 1 species